CGGGUUUCCAUUAUUUCCUUGAAAGACAAGAAGUUUUCCACCUUCCACGUGAAUGAACUUUUUUUCCCAACCCCAUCAAUCUGGGAACCAGUAACAAUUGCCUCAAUAUCUUGAUCUGUUAAAUCCUGCAUUAUUGAUGUCUCUUUCAAAAUGAGAACCUCUGCAGAGAAUACAACAGUGUCCUGAACAAGAAACCCAGAAUCUUGAUCAAAAAGGCUAGUAAGAGUCACGAAUUCACGCCAACCCCAAUCUUUUGCAGCUUUGGAAUA
rnacentral:misc_RNA from 1 species